UACAGAGGUCUCAAGCGUUGUUCGGAUUCAUUGGGCGUAAAGGGUGCGUAGGUGGCGGGGUAAGUCUGGUGUGAAAUCUCGGGGCUCAACCCCGAAACUGCACUGGAUACUGCCUUGCUUGAGUACUGGAGAGGAGAUUGGAAUUUACGGUGUAGCAGUGAAAUGCGUAGAUAUCGUAAGGAAGACCAGUGGCGAAGGCGAAUCUCUGGACAGUCACUGACACUGAGGCACGAAGGCCAGGGGAGCAAACGGG
rnacentral:rRNA from 1 species